UACGUAGGGUGCGAGCGUUGUCCGGAAUUAUUGGGCGUAAAGGGCUCGUAGGCGGUUUGUCGCGUCGGGAGUGAAAAUCCAGGGCUUAACUCUGGACUGGCUUCCGAUACGGGCAGACUAGAGGUAUGCAGGGGAGAACGGAAUUCCUGGUGUAGCGGUGAAAUGCGCAGAUAUCGGGAGGAACACCGGUGGCGAAGGCGGCGAUCUGGGUCGAUACUGACGCUGAGGUGCGAAAGCGUGGGGAGCAAACAGG
rnacentral:rRNA from 1 species